GAUGAACGCUAGCGGCAGGCCUAACACAUGCAAGUCGAGGGAGAGGUUAUCUUCGGGUAACCAAAACCGGCGCACGGGUGCGUAACGCGUAUACAAUCUGCCUUUCACAUAGGGAUAGCCCGAAGAAAUUUGGAUUAAUACCUAAUGGUAUAUAGGAGCGGCAUCGUUUUUAUAUUAAAGCUACGGUGGUGAAAGAUGAGUAUGCGUUCUAUUAGCUAGUUGGAGAGGUAACGGCUCCCCAAGGCGACGAUAGAUAGGGGUUCUGAGAGGGAUGUCCCCCACACUGGUACUGAGAUACGGACCAGACUCCUACGGGAGGCAGCAGUGAGGAAUAUUGGACAAUGGUCGGAAGACUGAUCCAGCCAUGCCGCGUGCAGGAUGAAGGUCCUAUGGAUUGUAAACUGCUUUUGUAAGGGAAGAAUAAGGAGUACGUGUACUUUGAUGACGGUACCUUACGAAUAAGCAUCGGCUAACUCCGUGCCAGCAGCCGCGGUAAUACGGAGGAUGCGAGCGUUAUCCGGAAUCAUUGGGUUUAAAGGGUCCGUAGGCGGGCUGAUAAGUCAGAGGUGAAAGCGCUUAGCUCAACUAAGCAACUGCCUUUGAAACUGUCAGUCUUGAAUGAUUGUGAAGUAGUUGGAAUGUGUAGUGUAGCGGUGAAAUGCUUAGAUAUUACACAGAACACCGAUAGCGAAGGCAUAUUACUAACAAUUUAUUGACGCUGAUGGACGAAAGCGUGGGGAGCGAACAGG
rnacentral:rRNA from 1 species